ACCUUUUGAGACGAACCGAUGCUGGAUGAACCGAUUAGAUAGAAUGAAUCCAAUUUUCCAAAAGGAGGUGUGACCAUUUUAGGCUUUUUGAUUUAUUUAUUUUACAGUUUAUUCAAGAAUUUAUGAUAAAUAAAUUCGAACGCUACAAAACAGAGAGAAGAACCGUUUCGACGGGCGGCGGGCGCAUUUGAUCAUGAGAGAGAAAACAAACACUGUGGCUAGAAAAAAAACAAGCAGAUGGAGAUACAAGACUGUCCUCGGGGGACAUAAACGUCAGUUCCUGGAGAUUCCUCUUAACAGAUACCAUGAAAACGUUGACCCAAUACAGAUGACAUAAAAUCUGCUUACAGCAGGUCAAAACAUCUUUUUUCAACUUACCUGAAGGAGGAGGAAAAGUCAAUUGUUCAAUGCCAUGUUUUAUGGGUUUAUUCAUCUUACCAAGUUUGACCGUCAUCCUUCCAAGGUCAACUGGGAAGCUUUAUAGAGGAGCUGGAUGUGCUGCUGUCCUCUUUACCUGAGGAUGGCAUCCCACUUGUAGUCUUUGACGACUUCAGCAUUCAUCUAGAGAAGCCGUAUGCUACAGACUUCACCUCUCUCUUAGCCUCCUUCGAUCUCAAAUGGCUCAUCACCACAGGUAUUCACAAGUCAGGCAACCAACUGGACCUGGUCUACACACGCAAUUGCAUCACAGACAAUAUCCUAGUGAAACCUCUCAACGUUUAGACCAUUUCCUCAUUACCUUCAGUCUUCAACUUACUACCCAUGCACCACCAAUUCCCCUACCAGUUACUUUCAGGCGAAACCUGUGCACACUUUCUCCAUCCCUUCUUUCCUCUGAUGUGUCAUCUUCUGUCAUCAUCCAAGCUUUAAUUCCUGCUAAGCUUAUAAUAAAUUUAGUAACAUUUAAAAGCUAUAAUAAAAGCUAUAAUGUGCAUUCCCACAGCCCCCCACACUUUUCAGAUGGCUCUUAUGCUCCUGGCUAGUCUGGUUUACAGAUAUAGAUGUUUUCCUGUUUCUUGCUGUGAAACAAGUAGAAGAGCUUCUGGCUGAUCUUUUUAAAACAGACACAUUGCUGACACACAGUAUAAAGAGGCCCACCAAGAGGGCCAAAAAAAGAGUACGGUAAAGUUCAUUGGGUUCGUCACGCACUAUUUUAGGAUCAAAAUAUUAACCAUAUUAUUUCCUUGUCUACUGUGGUGAAUUACAUAGGAGAGGGGUCCUCAUAAACACUGGUGGUUUAAGGAGCGUGUUCCUGGCACUAUCUCCAUCAGCUGCUGCCAGGAGAUAAUGUUGCCCUGUGAUUUAUGUGGUGCGAAAACUGAGGCUCCAGGGAGCGAAGAGCUAAACAAGUGGAAGCUUAAGGAGUAACUUAACAGAAGAUAAACACAUUAGAGGAUUAAUGUAACACCACACACACAAAAAGCACAAAAACACACACACAUACACACACAUGUCCUGGCUCAGAUGUUACCUCAUGCAUUUAGCAGUAUGUAUUCACUUGCUUCUUAAAUUGUUUUAAUUGUUGAUGUUGAACAACCUGUACAUUUUACAGUAAACCUGUAAUUUACAAACAAGAAAAUGUGCAACUUACAUAUACUUAGUAAUAUAUACAUAGUAACAUAUACUAUGCAAGUGUUAAAAGAGGAAGCCAUGAUGAAUCAUGAAGUAAGCCAUCAUGGUAAAACAUGACAUGCAAUAAUCAUUCAUUAAAUGUUAACAGCAUUCAUUCUGUUUAUAAACAGAGAUAAAACCCAAAUGUGCAUAACUGCUACACAAUUCUAAAUGUGCAAAGAAAUUAUUAGAACAAAAUACCCUGAAAUAUGAAGUGUCACAUAGAGAAUGCUGGGAAUGUCAGUUUACAGUUUUUCACUGUAAAUUAUAAUUUCAUUUGUUCUGCUUCACUUCUAAAAUCUCUUAACAGUAAAAUUACAUGAAACGUUUACAGUUUUGUAUGGUAAUACUUAACCUAUUAACAGUUUUUUUCCCCAUAGCGUUUUUACAAUAUUUUAGAGUUAAUUACAGUGUAAAGGCAAUCAUUUUUAUAUAUAAAGUACAACAAUAAUGAUCAAUUAAAUGGUCAUUGGCCUUUUCAAUGCCAUUAUUUUAAGUAAUUUAAAAUGUAUAUAUUAGGAAAUCCUUAUUUUGUAUUAUACAAACUUAUUGUAUUUUAACUCUGGCUUCUUAACUUUAUUAACAAACACCUUUCUUCUUUCGUUGUAUAAUUGGCAAAGGUUAUAGAAGAAUUUGUUUUAAAAAAAAUGGCUGUGCUGACAACAUAAAAAGUAUUUUAUUUCAUUUGAAGCCUGCAGUGCUUCAUGCUAACUGUACAUUGCUGUCCGAUAAAGAUGAGUAACGUGUCCUGCUGAAAUAUUAUCCAGAGUUGGGCAUAUGAAAUCAUAAGACACAGCGAUUUAACUCGACUUGACUGUGCAGUGUAAUGGAAUAUCUGUCAUGAGGCAUGUUUUGAUUAUCCAGCGGCGUGGUUUCGAUUUGAAAGAGACAUACCUUUUAGAAUAGCAUCUUCUGUAUCUGGAAUGUGUCUAGUGACAAAGUAGGAGCUCAACUGUUUUAGUAAAAAAAAAAAUGUUUAUGAUUUCUGCCACAGCAUAUUAUGGUCUGACCAAAGAACUGUGUUUAUAAAAGAUCAUUGUGAAUUUGGGAUUCUUUUUUGUUUAACCAGAAGCAUGUUUACAUUCAUAAACCCGGAAAAAAAAAAAAUCCUGUUCGG